ACACACACGGCGCGCUUCGGUCUGUCACUAGUUUCUAUUUCCGCUCCGUUGUUGUUGUUUUUAUUAUCAUUAUUAUGCACUUUCACUACUUGUGUAUUUACACAGAAGUCCAUGCACUGAGCAAAACAGUGUAAAUGCAACCGACUCCCCACAGUUUUUACAGCCUACAGUUCUACAGGAAAGUGUGGUGGAUGUAGGAGUGUUGGGUCAGAGGCUGAUGAAAAACCAACUCAUGAAGGUUUGGGAGAAAAAACUAGCCAUUGAUCGUCAAACAUCUAAAAAAAGUGCAGUUACUAUGAUUGCAUAUAUUAAAGUUGCUGCAUUUAAAAUGCUUUUAGCUGGACUCUGAGUAGUGCAGUGGUAAAGUGCUCCCUAGUUCGGUUCCCUGGUGAUGCUGUAACCUCUCGCAGCCAGAGAUCCAGACAGAGCUGAUCGGCCGAGCUCGCUCAGCGGGGAGGGAUGAGAGACCUGCAGGAGUUUGAAGGAGGAUGCAUGUUUUUCAGUGAGCAGCUUGAAGUUUCAUCCAUCUCCCUCCUAAUCCCCUCUUCAACUGCUGUCUUGAACCUCAUCAAGAUGGGAG